rnacentral:rRNA from 1 species
GACGAGCGCUGGCGGCGCGCCUAACACAUGCAAGUCGAACGAGCGAGAGAGAGCUUGCUUUCUCGAGCGAGUGGCGAACGGGUGAGUAACGCGUGAGGAACCUGCCUCAAAGAGGGGGACAACAGUUGGAAACGACUGCUAAUACCGCAUAAGCCCACGGGUCGGCAUCGACCAGAGGGAAAAGGAGUAAUCCGCUUUGAGAUGGCCUCGCGUCCGAUUAGCUAGUUGGUGAGGUAACGGCCCACCAAGGCAACGAUCGGUAGCCGGACUGAGAGGUUGAACGGCCACAUUGGGACUGAGACACGGCCCAGACUCCUACGGGAGGCAGCAGUGGGGAAUAUUGCACAAUGGGGGAAACCCUGAUGCAGCGACGCCGCGUGGAGGAAGAAGGUCUUCGGAUUGUAAACUCCUGUUGUUGAGGAAGAUAAUGACGGUACUCAACAAGGAAGUGACGGCUAACUACGUGCCAGCAGCCGCGGUAAAACGUAGGUCACAAGCGUUGUCCGGAAUUACUGGGUGUAAAGGGAGCGCAGGCGGGAAGACAAGUUGGAAGUGAAAUCCAUGGGCUCAACCCAUGAACUGCUUUCAAAACUGUUUUUCUUGAGUAGUGCAGAGGUAGGCGGAAUUCCCGGUGUAGCGGUGGAAUGCGUAGAUAUCGGGAGGAACACCAGUGGCGAAGGCGGCCUACUGGGCACCAACUGACGCUGAGGCUCGAAAGUGUGGGUAGCAAACAGGAUUAGAUACCCUGGUAGUCCACACCGUAAACGAUGAUUACUAGGUGUUGGAGGAUUGACCCCUUCAGUGCCGCAGUUAACACAAUAAGUAAUCCACCUGGGGAGUACGACCGCAAGGUUGAAACUCAAAGGAAUUGACGGGGGCCCGCACAAGCAGUGGAGUAUGUGGUUUAAUUCGACGCAACGCGAAGAACCUUACCAAGUCUUGACAUCCUGCGACGGUUCUGGAAACAGAACUUUCCUUCGGGACGCAGAGACAGGUGGUGCAUGGUUGUCGUCAGCUCGUGUCGUGAGAUGUUGGGUUAAGUCCCGCAACGAGCGCAACCCUUAUGGUCAGUUACUACGCAAGAGGACUCUGGCCAGACUGCCGUUGACAAAACGGAGGAAGGUGGGGAUGACGUCAAAUCAUCAUGCCCUUUAUGACUUGGGCUACACACGUACUACAAUGGCGUUAAACAAAGAGAAGCAAGACCGCGAGGUGGAGCAAAACUCAGAAACAACGUCCCAGUUCGGACUGCAGGCUGCAACUCGCCUGCACGAAGUCGGAAUUGCUAGUAAUCGUGGAUCAGCAUGCCACGGUGAAUACGUUCCCGGGCCUUGCACU